AUUCUGCAAUUAGUUUCCCUUCGUAUAACCCUAAUAAUAUGGAUUAGGGGUCUCUACCAGGAACCAAUAAUUCCUGAUUACGAAGAGUUUAGUACUUUAG
rnacentral:ncRNA from 16 species